UACGUAGGGUGCGAGCGUUAAUCGGAAUUACUGGGCGUAAAGCGUGCGCAGGCGGCGACAUAAGACAGAUGUGAAAUCCCCGGGCUCAACCUGGGAACGGCGUUUGUGACUGUGUGGCUAGAGUGUAGCAGAGGGGGGUGGAAUUCCACGUGUAGCAGUGAAAUGCGUAGAGAUGUGGAGGAACACCGAUGGCGAAGGCAGCCCCCUGGGUUAACACUGACGCUCAUGCACGAAAGCGUGGGGAGCAAACAGG
rnacentral:rRNA from 1 species